CCUACGGGAGGCAGCAGUGAGGAAUAUUGGUCAAUGGGCGGAAGCCUGAACCAGCCAAGUAGCGUGCAGGAUGACGGCCCUACGGGUUGUAAACUGCUUUUAUACGGGAAUAACGCGCCUUACGUGUAGGGCUUUGCAUGUACCGUAUGAAUAAGGACCGGCUAAUUCCGUGCCAGCAGCCGCGGUAAUACGGAAGGUCCGGGCGUUAUCCGGAUUUAUUGGGUUUAAAGGGAGCGUAGGCCGCAUGUCAAGCGUGCUGUGAAAUGUCCGGGCUCAACCCCGGCCCGCCGUUGAAACUGGCAGUCUCGAGUUGGAGAGAAGUAUGCGGAAUGCGCGGUGUAGCGGUGAAAUGCAUAGAUAUCGCGCAGAACUCCGAUUGCGAAGGCAGCAUGCCGGCUCCACACUGACGCUGAGGCACGAAAGCGUGGGUAUCGAACAGGAUUAGAUACCCUAGUAGUC
rnacentral:rRNA from 1 species